ACUAGAUGUGGAACCCAAUAGGUCACACAUAUAUAGAAAUUACCCAAAGACCUUUUUAAAAAAGGUUGAUUAAAAUUUUGGAUUUAAUCAGGGUUUCGGUAAGUAUACUAGCACGUGUGGAAAUCCUUAAUCUUUUGGAGAUCAAUUUGGUCUCAUCCCUUUCUAAUUAGCUAGCCUAAUUUAGUGAGCAUUUGGAUCAGAUCGUGCCACCUAGAAGCAGCCCAAAAUGAGGUAUCUAAUCCCAUGUUAAUGCCAAAAUAUGAGUCAUCCAAAUUGAGAAGGACUCUUGGCACAAAAACUAUUUGAGUGCAAGUGUUGGUGUGAGCAAAAUAGAAAAUCUUUUUGGUGUGGGACUAAGAUGUGUGUGGUAGACCACAUCACCUUUUAUCCUCUGAUGCACAUCUCAAAGCAUGAUAUAUAUUUUUUCUAGAAUUUUUGGGGUAGAUAAAAAUUGAAAAAGAGAAGGAUGUCUC
rnacentral:lncRNA from 1 species